CAAAAAAGAAAAAAAGAAAAGAAAAAAAAAAUUAAUGACAAUGGGAAUUCAUGAAGCUAUAACCAACACUUUUGCACUAACAAGACGAUAGUGGCGUCACAUUCAGCUACAAAUCAGAUUUCCAAUUCCAGCCUUGCACAUCUGCUCCCUUUUCUACUCAGUAGAAAUUAACACACACACUACCUUUCGCUGUUUUUCCAACCAGAUCCUUACUGAAGACAGCGAAGGCUAAGGACUGGGACCCCA
rnacentral:lncRNA from 10 species